rnacentral:lncRNA from 1 species
UAUAGUUCUUCAACUAUUAAUGCGGUUCGUGAGAAAUUGAAAUUGAUCUAUGAUACAUAUGUCGAUUCUAUUUCAACUGAUAUGGUAUGAAAGACAUCAAUCCUCUUAUAAGCACACAAAGUCAAUCAAAAUAUGUCGAUCAUAUUACAUCAGUAUGACGUUCAUUUGUUAGUGACAGUAGUCAUUUUGAUGAUGCCCAAUCAACAAAGUUAGAGAACUAUUUGAAAGAUCCAAUUCAUCCUGAGAAAGAUGAAGAUACUUUUACAUUCGAUAUCAACAUAUGUACCAAAGAUUGGC